UGUCAAAAAAUGUUUAGUUUUAAGCAAAAGCUGAGGUCCCUGCUGAAAGUCCUUGUACAGUAUUGAGCAAAAUAUUGAAAUAGUGUAGAGGUUAAGAUGCUAAAAUAUGUCGGGAAACACAUACCGGGACUUCUUAUAUCUACACUUUCUAUUAUUUUAAAAUGUUGUCAGUGACAUAGGAACAGACACAGACGUUUUUUUUUCUUUCCUGGCGACGUUUUUAGGCAAAGCGCCGUAGACCUAGCAUUUAGCUUCAUCAAUAUGGCGAUUACAGUUGGAGAGUCGGACUUACAUAAAAGAUGGCUGUCUCCUGGAUCACGAUCAGGUUUCAACCUGCAACAGAACAAAGUACUUCCCAGGCCAAAGCAAUAUUGAGGCAGUAAAAAGGGGAGCAGUGUGAGGGGACGGUGCCAUGCUCAAAGCACCUCAGCGGCAACUGGUGGACUCAAACCUGAAGCCUUCUGGACCCAAGUCCGCUUCCUGAAACACUAAGCCACCACUGCAGUACUGUAUGAAGCCAAAUGCCUUCAGUUUGCCUUCAGAGGUUAAUAUUAAAUAUUAAUAUAAUAUAAAAAUGUAAAUCUCAGCUUUGCUAAAACAGAACAGAAUAAAGACAUUGAUUUAACAAGUUUAGUCUUUUCUAAAGUUGGUUGAGAGUAGAAUAUAUGGCUCCAUGACAGCCCAACACAAGGGUGCCAUCAAGUGAAGAAAACUUGUGUAAAAGAUUUAGGGAGCUGAAUGCUGGACAGACACCCUGUAAAGAACCAGGGAUUGUGGAUAUUUAUUGUGUCUGAGCUGUUGUUAAGCUGUUGUCACUGGGCUCCUGAAUUUGCAGCUUCGUCCCUGCUCUUGCAUCCUCCAGAGAUCCUUCCCUUUAUUGUAAUAUCAAAAUGGCACAUUUUCAGGCUGACGGUAGUGAAGACCAUAUUUUCUUAUCUUUCUGUCCACCCUUCUUCUUGAACCCAACAACUCUUUAUUCUAAUCACCCUAAGGUUUAGUAAUUAGUGGACUGUUGAUUAAAAAAGGGCUUUGGAGAAAAAAAAUAUCCAGCAAUUACCAAACACAUUAAUCCCCUUCAGUGGCUUCAUUAAAAUGCUCUACGUAGCCUGGCUUCAAGUUUUACAUUUAAAUUUGACUCUGAGAGUUUACACUGCAAUUUGCACUUUUAAUUUGCACCUACCUUAAUUGGAUAUAGCUGCUUUGUGCUCCAGUUGGUGGAACUGCUGCCCUGUUCUCUUCUUAAAAAUUCCCAGAAUUUUAGGAACUAUGGAGACAGGUCCAAAUCUGCCUUCCAAGCCCCCAUCACCGUUGUUAAUUCAUGUUGAAAAUUCUCAAUUCUUUCUACUAAUUCUGCUACAAGAAGCUGCACAUUUACUGUGAAAUGAAGAAAACAUUUCUUGCGAGAAACUAAAUUAUUUUGGCUUUGGAGGUGGGAUUAGUUGGCACGACAUCCUAGGUGUGAAAAAGCAAGAAUAAAUCUCAAUGUGCUGUAGAAAUCAAUUUUCCCUUCCAACAGGAAGGGAAACUUUGC